rnacentral:lncRNA from 1 species
CACCACCAGCAACCGGCUCCUCCCGCUCCGGUGAUCCGCCGCGCGCCUCCUCCUGCCGCCGCCGCCGCCCCGCGCGCGCCGCCGCGGAUCGUCCACGAGCCUCUUCCUCCUGGCCCGCGCGUCGCCGUGCUCAACCGCGCACCUGCUCCGGCUCCGGCUCAGGUGCCCCCACGCGCUCCGGUGGUCCGCCGUGGGCCUCAGCUGAUCGUCCACGCGCCUCUCCCUC